rnacentral:rRNA from 1 species
UACGGAGGGUGCAAGCGUUGUCCGGAUUUAUUGGGUUUAAAGGGUGCGUAGGCGGCCCUGUAAGUCAGUGGUGAAAGCCUCCAGCUCAACUGGAGAACUGCCAUUGAUACUGCAGGGCUUGAGUACAGACGAGGUUGGCGGAAUUGAUGGUGUAGCGGUGAAAUGCAUAGAUACCAUCAAGAACUCCGAUUGCGUAGGCAGCUAACUAGGCUGUAACUGACGCUGGGGCACGAAAGCGUGGGGAGCGAACGGG